UACGGAGGGUGCGAGCGUUGUCCGGAAUCAUUGGGCGUAAAGGGCGCGUAGGUGGCCCGGUCAGUCUUUGGUGAAAGCGCGGGGCUCAACCCUGCGUCGGCCAGGGAUACUGCCGCGGCUCGAGCACUGUAGAGGCAGGCGGAAUUCCGGGUGUAGCGGUGGAAUGCGUAGAGAUCCGGAAGAACACCGGUGGCGAAGGCGGCCUGCUGGGCAGUUACUGACACUGAGGCGCGACAGCGUGGGGAGCAAACAGG
rnacentral:rRNA from 1 species